GAUGAAGAACGUAGCGAAAUGCGAUAAGUAAUGUGAAUUGCAGAAUUCAGUGAAUCAUCGAAUCUUUGAACGCACAUUGCGCCCCCCAGUAUUCUGGAGGGCAUGCCUGUCCGAGCGUCAUUUCAACCGUCAAGCCCCGCUUGUGUUGGGGACCUGCGUCUGACGCAGGCCCUGAAAACCAGUGGCGGGCUCGCUGUCCACACCGAGCGUAGUAGCUAAACCUCGCUCUGGAGUGGCGCGGGCGCCAGCCGUAAAACCCCCACAUAUCAAGGUUGACCUCGGAUCAGGUAGGAAUACCCGCUGAACUUAAGCAUAUCAAUAAGCGGAGGA
rnacentral:misc_RNA from 1 species